GGAGUUAGCCGGUGCUUCUUCUGUGAGUGAUGUCCUUCCUGCCGGCUAUUAACCCGCAGGCCUUCUUCCUCACUGAAAGUGCUUUACAACCCGAAGGCCUUCUUCACACACGCGGCAUGGCUGGAUCAGGGUUGCCCCCAUUGUCCAAUAUUCCCCACUGCUGCCUCCCGUAGGAGUCUGGGCCGUGUCUCAGUCCCAGUGUGGCUGAUCAUCCUCUCAGACCAGCUACGGAUCGUCGCCUUGGUGAGCCGUUACCUCACCAACCAGCUAAUCCGACAUAGGCUCAUCCGAUAGCGCGAGGCCCGAAGGUCCCUCGCUUUCCCCCGUAGGGCGUAUGCGGUAUUAGCCUGGGUUUCCCCAGGUUAUCCCCCACUACCGGGCAGAUUCCUAUGCAUUACUCACCCGUCCGCCGCUCGCCACCAGGGAGCAAGCUCCCCGUGCUGCCGCUCGACUUGCAUGUGUUAGGCCUGCCGCCAGCGUUCAAUCUGAGCCAGAAUCGAACCCUGA
rnacentral:rRNA from 1 species